CACUUUGUCGGGCAAAGACUCAACUCUUCUGUUUCCCCACUCCCGCCACCCUGUCUGCGUUGCAUCAAACGACGAGCAUCACAUACACCGGGAAUCUUUCCCCUCAGCUGGUCAACUUUUAUAUUUACUGCUACCCCAGUUAUCACUCCUUUCAUUGGUGCCCUUUUCUUGAGAACGAAACAAUUCACUUUUCUUGCCCCCAUUCGUUUUACUCAGAGCACAUUCUCCCUCUGCCCAACAGAAACACAAACAAUUAUCACUAGACCACUUCUGGUUACCCUCACCGAUUCCACAUGACCCAACUCUUUUUUCACCCACCGUGAAACCACAAAUGGAUCAGCCAAAGGCAAGAGUUCACUUUUUCCAUAAACUUUACUCCUACUGUCAUACACUCUUCUUUUUCCUGAUCCUUGGUGCAUACCUAGGUCUCCGAUAACUUCAGCACACCUACCACCUCCGAUACACCCUCAUUCACUGCCAUUUCUCCUCCUGUCUUCAGCUCCCUCUGCUUACACUUUCCACCAUUCUUCUUUAACAAACCAUCUCCCCCUUUUCCACCAUUUUUAUCUGACUCAAGCUCACCCUCUUCUUCCCUCUCUCUCUUUGACCUCUUCUCACUCUCUUUUUCCCUCCAUUCCUCCUCCGUUUUCCAAGUAUAAAUCUCAUUAUGAUAAUACUGCUGCCCCACUCCUGACACCCAUCUUGUUCUUGUUUUCUCUAGGGACUCCAUUUCCCUUGCCCCGUGUACACUAGCUUCCCAUUCAUUUUCAAUGGAAGGAAAGCGGUGAGAAGCGGAGAGGGCGUGGGACCUUUGGGCGGUGCAAACGUGGCGUGUAGCAAGCGGUAAAUUGCUGUGUGCUGCUAAGGCCGCCAAUUGUAACUCCUUUGUGGGCGUGCUGGCAGCAUAUAGCAGCAUUUGUAUGUAGGCCUGGUUAUUACAUCGGUAAAUAGUAAUAUGCUCUAAAACACUCUGGUGACAAACAAACUUUGCUGCCCUGAUCACAAUUGUCCACAUGACUGGGAGAACUUAUUCAAGUUUUCUGUCCUCAGAUAAAGAGAGCUAUGAAAGCCUGUCUACAGAUGAAGAGGUCCCAAUGAAGAGCAGUGGUUCUCAGUCCUGGGGACUCAAAGGGAUUCCUUGUAACUGGAGAUUCUUUCAAAACGAUUGGCUACAGUUACUGUGUAGGGCACUGCAAGGUUGGGUGACCAGGGCCAUCUGGGACUGCCUCCUGGAGGAAUUCAGGCGUGUGAAGGCUACUUGUGUCCUGUAUAACUUCAUGAGGAUGGACAUGAGGAACAGGAUGGGAUCUGCAGCUCGCCGCUGUGUGCCAGAGGAGAAAGUCUGGUGCUCAGCAGGAUGUGUCAAGGAUGGGGUCCAACAACACAGCAAGAGAGGCAAUCUGUUAUAAAGUACUCUCCAGCCACUUAGUGUGGACACCAGGUUAUCAGCUGUGUCGGUGAAUCCCUCCCGCAUCUGAACUGGCUACAUAGAGGGCACAGCAUGAUCAGAGGAAUGUUUUGAUGUAAGAGAGGAUGCUAACCCCCAGUCCCGUCAUCGCCACCUUACCCGUUCUUAAGAUAACCUUCGGGCUGACUAGAGAAACUAUUAUGUAACUGUGAUGAACUGAGAGAAUAUUAGGGUAGCACUGUGACUCAUUAAUCAUAUGCUGCCUUCCCUGCUCCUCUGUUCUUUCCCUUUCUGUCUUUUACACCUCUCUCGCCACCUCUUUCUUUCUCUGUUUUUAUAAUGCACAACAGCUGUGCAUUGAAGUAAAGAUUGAACUUGCAUUUAUAAUAUAUUACAAUUAUAAUAUUUAUAAUGCAUGUAUUUAUAACACUUGGAUAAUGAACUUCUUUCAAUAAAGCGUUUCACAUUCUCUACUGGUUGAAA
rnacentral:lncRNA from 1 species